GACGUAGGUGACGAACGUUAUCCGGAAUUAUUGGGCGUAAAGGGUGCGUAGAUGGCCUGAUUAAGUUAGCAGUGGGAAAUCGAGGCUCAACCUCGUGGAAGCUGGUAAUACUGUCAGGCUCGAGUGCAGGAGAGGUUAACGGAACUCCAUGUGGAGCGGUAAAAUGUGUAGAUAUAUGGAAGAACACCAAUAACGGCGAAGGCAGUUAACUAUUCUGUUACUGACAUUGAGGCACGAAAGCGUGGGGAGCAAAACGG
rnacentral:rRNA from 1 species